ACCCUUGAAAGUGGAAGAUCUGCGACUGAUUGUUUCACUAAUGAGGGUUUGGUUCUGAAGCAUCUGUGACAUCGAUGAAACACAGACUUCGUCAAGUUGCGUCCACCGAUGAUCCAAAAACGUUGACGGAGUAUCGAUAACAAAAGUUCCGGACCGGCAUGCAGGUGAUUCUGGUGGUAUGCCUGUGCCAACAAUACUGCCAAUUGAUGCUUGGAAGAAAGCAAUAUUGGAUGUUUUGACGAUUCUUCGAGUUGCGCAUUGCGUAGCCGGCCACCAACACGCAUUAAUCCCGCCUGGUCGAUGAAUGGGGAUAACCAUUUUAGUCGCGAGCUACGUGGUAUCUGUCUUCCAUUGGCAAUCUCGGUCCGCUCGUCCGGGAACGAAUCCUGCUGCGCUAAUAGACACAACUGAAGCUCGGCUCGGUGUAACUCGUUGCUUGUCAGAGGUGGUACUGUGACGAUGAGUGAAUGAAUGGAGCGAUGCGUAUUGUUUGCUGACCCCGUUGAUGAUUUGCUCGACUUCAUGCACGCAAUGAAACGCAAACAAUAUGCCGUAGUUCGACGUAGUCGCAGGUAAGUAGAGAACCGUGAAAAAAAGCUGUUGCUAAACUCAUUGGUCAUUGACAAGGAAGCAACCUGCAUUUGAACCGCCCGUUCUUCUCCCGUUGAUUCGAUUCCUCCUGUUUCAGGUUCUCCUUUUGGCCAUGCGUCUUCUUUGCUGCUCAGCCAAUACGGUCCGUGCCACCACCGAUGGCAUGAUAGUAAUUUAUCAGGAAGCAGACCGCGCGACACAUCGUCUGCUGGGUUGUCCACACCCGGAACAUGACGCCAGCAUUUUAUUUUUGUUUCUGCCUGAAUUUGUGCUACUCUAUUUGCAACGAAUGGCUUCCAACGCCUUGGUGGUGAGUUUAGCCAGUGUAAGACGGUCAUUGAAUCAGUCCAGCAAAAGGCUUCGCAAAUACUGGGAAUAGACUGACUGACCUUCCGAAACAGUUGCGUUGCCAAUCUUGCAGCACAAAGCUCCAACCUUGCGAUUGAAUUGGUGUUCGCCAAUGACACCACUUUCGAUUUUGCCGCCAUAAGUUGCACCGAAAUUCCUGAAGGGCCCUCUGUUCUGAUGUAGCAACAAGCACCGUAAGCUAGUUGCGAAGCAUCUGCGAAAAUGUGCAACUGCUUACUUGUUGCUCCUCUAAGUGAUGUGAACCGAGGGAUGCGCACUUCACGGAGUAAGUGUAGCUUGGAAUGAAACACCAUCCAUUCCUUUUGUAGAUGUGAUGGGAGCUCAGUAUCCCAAUCCCAAGCCUUCCCGUUUGAUUUUAAGGCCCACAAUUGUUGCAUAAAGAGUUUGGCAAUAAUGAUGGUUGGGCCAAGUAAACCGAGUGGGUCGAAAACCCUUGCGAUGUAUGAUAAAGUUAGCCUCUUUGUUAACACCGUCGCCGUAGGUGGCAGAUCGAUCCGAAACCGAAGUAUAUCAACUGCGGGUUCCCAAACCAAGCCCAGCGUUGAUACGAAUUGUUGAUCUUGCCAUUCGUGAGUAGGAAGCAUUGCCAAAUCAUCCGAUGGGACACCUUCUAGAGCUUCCGGUACGUUGGAUGCCCACUUUUUCAACGAGAAGCCAGCUGAAUUAAGCAUUCCCGAUAUCUGCUUCCGUAUCUCAGCCGCAUCCGCUACGUCUUCUGUUCCUGUUAGUAGAUCGUCCACAUAGAAGUCGUGGAGUACUGCAUUCACCGCUCUUGGAUAGUGCGUUUGAUGAUCAUGAGCGAUUUGUUGCAAGGUCCUAGUUGCCAGAAAGGGCGCCGAUGCGGUACCGUAGGUAACUGUUUGUAGCUGGUAGGUUUUAAUCGGUACUUCCGGAUUCUCUCGGUACCGAAUGCGAAGGUAUCGUUGGUCGCAUUCAUCGUGCAGCACUUGGCGAUACAUCUUCUCUACAUCCGCUGAUAGGGCGACUGCGUGCGAACGAAACCGAACGAUGAUGUUGAAAAGGUCGUCUUGAAUCACAGGCCCAACCAACAGCUUGUCAUUCAAUGAGUAACCCGAGGAUGUCUUACACGAAGCAUCGAAUACAACUCUGACCUUCGUGGUUGUGCUCGUCUCCUUCACUACCGCGUGAUGAGGAAGAUAGUAGUGUUCACAAGUGUCAUCAAUCGGUUCGGGUUGGAUUUCAAACGACGUUCUACUGCUAGGAGCCGACGAUCAGCUAUCGCCUUGGAUGCUCCUAAAACGAUACCAGGAUUAGUGGAUUGAGAACCGUUCCAAGAUCGAUUCCAGUGGGGAUGAUUCGCUGGUAGAAAGGUGAAAAGCCGAUGAUCCUUGUGCGGAAGUCUUCGACGAAUGCCCAGCGACGACCCAACCGAAAGGGGUUUCCACUAGCCACGGUUUCCCUUUGCCGAGGGACCGCUUCCUGCCGGAAUGCAGCUCCCAAUACGUGUCUCCUCCGAUGAUAAUGUCGAUCUGGCCAGGCUUGUAGAACGAUGGAUCCGCGAGUGGCACAUCAGGGAUUCUCCACGCCGACGCAUCAACGGGUGCCGGUGGAAUAUGCCAGAAUGGAGCGUCAACAAUGAGCAACUCCAGCUGAGCGACAUGCGUACGGUUCGUUGAUUCCACGGAUGCGAUAAGUGAACCGUUCACUCGCUGCACUGCGUUCCCGAUGCCUGAUACCGAAACGUUCACCUUCUUCCGAGGUGUUCCAAUGAGCUUCCGAGCCAGUGCCUCGGAAAUGAAAUUCGACAUAGAGCCCGAAUCGAGGAGAGCUCUUGCCUCAUGCCGAUUUCCGUAACCAUCCACGAUGGACAGCAGCGUCGUUUCCAAAAACACCAUGUGGUUGUCUGUUUGCGCUGUCAUUGCGACCGUUGCGUUAGGAAGAGGAGAGUGUAAUAAUGUGUGGUGACGCUGACCACACGUACGGCAGGUAUAAUCCGACUUACAUGCCUUUACUUGGUGGGAAUCACUUAAACAGUUCCAACACAAAUGUUUCGAAGCCACAAUAUCACGACGUUGUUGCACGUCCUUUCCAAAAAAUACCGGACAGUUGCGAAGAAGGUGGCCCUCAACGCACUGUAAAGGACACUUGUGGCUCGUUGCACUGGGUGGCGAUGAUCGCGUAGGAGUUGCGGUUGCGAUCGAUCGUCGUGAUGUAGAUGGACGAGCGGAGCCGGCCACCUUU